GUAGGUGGCAAGCGUUGUCCGGAAUUAUUGGGGCGUAAAGCGCGCGCAGGCGGUUCUUUAAGUCUGAUGUGAAAGCCCACGGGCUCAACCGUGGAGGGUCAUUGGAAACUGGAGAACUUGAGUACAGAAAGAGGAAAGCGGAAUUCCACGUGUAGCGGUGAAAUGCGUAGAGAUGUGGAGGAACACCAGUGGCGAAGGCGGCUUUCUGGUCUGUAACUGACGCUGAGGCGCGAAAGCGUGGGGAGCAAACAGGAUUAGAUACCCUGGUAGUCCACGCCGUAAACGAUGAGUGCUAAGUGUUAGGGGGUUUCCGCCCCUUAGUGCUGCAGCUAACGCAUUAAGCACUCCGCCUGGGGAGUACGGCCGCAAGGCUG
rnacentral:rRNA from 1 species